AGACCAGCAAAUUUGUAGUUUACACAGCUUUUUUUUUUUUUUAACUAAACAUGAUUGUUUACGAAAAUUUGCAAAUGCCUGUUUGUUUCUUCACUUGAGAUAAAUGUUAACCAAUCGUUUGUUCUACUUGGAAGGAGGAGGCUAUUACAAAAAGAAAACCUCCCGAAGCUGCGUGCUUGAGGAAGAGGAUGAUCACCCGGGAUAGAGAAGGAUCUUAAAGGAGUAGCUGCGCUUCCCUUGCUAGAACCUCCAAACAAGUUAUCAAAACUGAGCAACAAAACAAAGUUGCCAAAAUUCAGGCAGAGGAAGAUGGCUUUGGUGAACUCGCAUGCGGAACAAAAGGGCAAGAAGCUGAAAAGCAGCAAGAAUUCCAGUACAAGUGAGAUCUACUCAGAAACAAACAACUGCCUUGAAUCUCAGACCAGCUUCCUCUGACUGCACUUCCAGAAUGCUACAAGCAAGUUUUACAGUCUAGAAAUGAGACUGGAGGAUACUUUCCUAGGAUGGUGGUUAACAUUUAAUUAUUAUUAAAUAUAAAAUGUAACUAAAUUGCAAAUGUUUUAAUGAAGUGAAUGUUUCUCCCCUUAAUUCAUAAUAUCUAUGAAUGAACAAUUGUUCUUCUCCAGUACAGAGGACUUGUCUUAGUCACUUUUCUCACUGAAAAUAUUCAACAUUCAUAAGUUAAAGGAGGAAAGAUUUAUUUUGGUCAGUUUGUAGAGGUUUCAGUCCAUAGCUAGUUAGCUCCAAGGCAGGAUAGAUGGCAGAAGACAGUUUAUGGAGGAAGAAGUCAGUAAACAGCUGGUAGCAAGGUGGUGACCCUGCCUUUCCCUUUUAUCCCAUUCAGGCUAUAAGCCUUUGGUUGGUAUCCCACAUACCCAGGAUGCGGAUUCUGUCUUCAGUGAGUCCAUUCACCCACACCAAGAAUUAUGGUACUUACAAUUGAUGGACUAAUCUAGUACCACACAUCACUAAUCCCCAGUAUCAAACACUCUAGACUCAGCCAUCUCCCAAAACCCCUGCUAUGACUUCAUGUGGCUUUUUGGGGGGCACAUCUAGAUACAAGUUAUAAUAGAAACUAACUUAGGGCCUUUCUCCCCAAGAUACAGCCAGUUUUUAUUUUGAGACAAGUUCUCCCUAAAUUGCCCAGAUUGGGGUCAAAUUCAAGAUUCUCCUAACUCAGCCUACCACAGAGCUGGGAUUACAGACAUGUAUCACCGUUCCUGACGGUAAAUCUUACUUCUAAAAUGAAUAGGGUUAACUAUCAUUUCAUCUUAUUGUUUGGUUUUCAGAUAUAUUAAGAAAAUUUGUUCACAUAAAUAAGUAGAUAUGAAUUUAAGGGAUUUUAUUCUGGCCUUAGUUCCUUAUGAAUUAAACAUAAAAAUGAAUGAUUUAUUAUUAAGCAUUAUUUUUAACUGUUUAUCAGUUAACAGCUAGCUUCUGCCUAAAUAGGGGUAAAAGCAAAAACUACAAACUUUACUGGAAAAGGGCUCAUUACCAGCUAGAAAAAUGAUAGUUUCCUUCAAUGGUAUACUUUCUCCUAGAGGUGCUCUAACUCAGUUACUCAGAAAGGUCUGGGAAAAUAAAAAUGUUAAUUUUAUGCACCUUUUCCCCACAUAAUUACUGGUAAUUUUUUUGAUACUUUGGAGUAGACAGAAGUCUCUACAAUGAAAGCCUUGGCAUUUCUUUCUAAAGCUCUUUGCUUUGUUUUCAGGGAUUUGUUUUAAUAAUUAUGGGGAAUGGGACAAAGCCUUUAAAACAAAUAUUUACAAUUGUCCUUUUUGUGGGCAUGUUGAAGAUAUUUACACACUGAAGUAAGACUAUGUUGUGGUACUAUUAUACUACAAAUGAAUUGUUCUUUGUGAAAGAUCUGGGAAGUACAAACUAGCAUUAUGCUACAUUCAUAAGCAGUUCAGUUUUGAGAAACAAACAUAAACAUGGAAAAUGAUGAUCUGGAAAAUUAGUCCCUUAAAACUAUCCAUGCUUGUAUAUCUGUUGGAAGAGAUACUUAUGCCAUUCCCAAUUUGAAGGGCACUGACUCACACCAAGAAAUUGGAGACUACUAUAUCCAGAAAGUUGGGGAUUAUUACAAGGUAAUGAGAAGCAGUGGGCAGACCUAGAGAACAAUCAGACAAAAGACUCUAGAACAGAGGUCUGCAAAGGAAAGACGGUACUGAGCAAGGUGUUGUAUCUUGGAAUCUAGGGUUUCUGUUCUUCACCAUUAUUUAUGACCAUAUGACUUGGUAAAGCUUAGUGGUUAACUGGCUGAGAAAGAAAACAUGGGACAAGAGAAUAUGACGUUAUCAGAUGGAAGGCACUUAUUAAAAAUGGAUAUACUUGGAUUAGAAACACAUCCUCCCAGGAAAUAUUAUGCAUGUCCCCCCCCCCAAAAAAAAGAAAGGAAGGGGAGAGAGAGAUGGGAGAAGAGGGAGGGAGGAAAGGGAAAGCAGAGGUAAAAAGGAAGUAAGAUAUGUCAUGUAUAUGGACCAACUUCC